UACGUAGGUGGCAAGCGUUAUCCGGAUUUAUUGGGCGUAAAGGGAACGCAGGCGGUCUUUUAAGUCUGAUGUGAAAGCCUUCGGCUUAACCGGAGUAGUGCAUUGGAAGCUGGGAGACUUGAGUGCAGAAGAGGAGAGUGGAACUCCAUGUGUAGCGGUGAAAUGCGUAGAUAUAUGGAAGAACACCAGUGGCGAAAGCGGCUCUCUGGUCUGUAACUGACGCUGAGGUUCGAAAGCGUGGGUAGCAAACAGG
rnacentral:rRNA from 1 species